GUGUGAGAUGGCAUGUGUGUGUGACUACGCGAGUGGGUGUGAGAUGUGUGUGUGUGAAUAUGUAGGGGUGUGUGAAUGUGAGUGAGUCUGUGAGAUGGCAUGUGUGAGUGGUGGUGGGGGGUGGCACAGGGCCAGGUAGGGCCUCCCCAUCUCCUUCACAGGGGGCCCUCCCCUCUCCACUCUCUUUCCCUCCUGCCUCUCCUCUCUUCCCACUUCCUUCCCACCUCCCACCGCCCCGUCUGCGGCAGGGGUGCCUUCUCCGAGGUGGUGCUGGCCCAGGAGCGGGGCUCCGCACACCUCGUGGCCCUCAAGUGCAUCCCCAAGAAGGCCCUCCGGGGCAAGGAGGCCCUGGUGGAGAACGAGAUCGCAGUGCUCCGUAGGAUCAGUCACCCCAACAUCGUCGCUCUGGAGGAUGUCCACGAGAGCCCUUCCCACCUCUACCUGGCCAUGGAACUGUGA
rnacentral:sRNA from 1 species